GCCGCAGUCCGAGUCAGACGCGCGGGCGCGGGGGACAGCGCAGGAGCCGCCCGGCUGGGGCAGCCAGAGGCGACAGCUUCCUCAAGAACGAACGACAUCUGCGCUCCACGGUCCUGGGCAGCAGCGCCGGAGCUGAGCGGUGGGCGCGGCGCGAGAACGAAUCUUUGUGAUAUUCUUCCUCAGCACCCUUUACCCUUGUUUGCUGAAGACUCUGACCAAAGCUGCUCUCAGCUGUUGGCAUCAUCCUGAGAAAAGGGACAGCUUCAGAAAUCAGGGAAGCAUUUUGGAAGCUCCUGGUCUGGUGAUCUUUUGAAGAGCAAUGCUAAGAAGACCUUUGGUUUAAAGAAUUAAAAGGAAGAACAACCUCUUGACAUAAGAAGACUUUCUUCAAAG